AUACGUAGGGGGCAAGCGUUGUCCGGAAUGAUUGGGCGUAAAGGGCGCGUAGGCGGCGCGGUAAGUCUGGAGUGAAAGUCCUGCUUUCAAGGUGGGAAUUGCUUUGGAUACUGCCGCGCUUGAGUGCAGGAGAGGUUAUCGGAAUUCCCGGUGUAGCGGUGAAAUGCGUAGAGAUCGGGAGGAACACCAGUGGCGAAGGCGGGUAACUGGACUGCAACUGACGCUGAGGCGCGAAAGUGUGGGGAGCAAACAGGAUUAGAUACCCUGGUAGUCCACACUGUAAACGAUGAAUGCUAGGUGUAAGAGGUAUCGACCCCUUUUGUGCCGGAGUCAACACAAUAAGCAUUCCGCCUGGGGAGUACGGCCGCAAGGUUGAAACUCAAAGGAAUUGACGGGG
rnacentral:rRNA from 1 species